rnacentral:rRNA from 1 species
UACGUAGGGCGCAAGCGUUGUCCGGAAUUAUUGGGCGUAAAGAGCUCGUAGGCGGUUUGUCGCGGCUGCUGUGAAAUCCCGAGGCUCAACCUCGGGCCUGCAGUGGGUACGGGCAGACUAGAGUGUGGUAGGGGAGACUGGAAUUCCUGGUGUAGCGGUGGAAUGCGCAGAUAUCAGGAGGAACACCAAUGGCGAAGGCAGGUCUCUGGGCCACAACUGACGCUGAGGAGCGAAAGCGUGGGGAGCGAACAGG